CGGCCGUAAUUGCCUCGCGGCGGGGCGAGCGCUGCGCCGGGCGUGAGUGAGUGUGCGCGCGCUCGCGAGUGUGGUAUGUGCGGGUGUGCGCGCGUGGGGAGGUGCGCGUGCGAGCGGGGCGUGAAGACCCCGCGACUUCCAAGCACCGCCAGAGGCCGGGCCACAGCCGGCUUCAGGGCUGCGAGGCUGCGGCCGGUUUCGGUGCCCACGCGUAAUAAAGUGUUUUCAGUGCCCCGGGGCGGGGGGAGGGGUGCAUGGAACCCUCUCGUUCCCGGGCUCAGCCUCAGAGCGUAAGGAGGUGUUCGCCCCCACCCCCACUCCUGUGGCCCCGCCCGCUGCGCGCCCGAGGUCCCGCUCCCGGAGAGCGGGUCCCCGCCGUCCCGCUCCCCGGGAGGCUCGGGCCUUAGGAAGGGGGUGGGGGCGAGAGCCAGUGCCCCUGGCCGCUCAGGUCUUGGGGGGGCAGGCCCCAUCCCUCACUGAGCCUCCGUUUCUAGACUCUGAACCCGUGGGGAGUCUCCUCCGGUUCCUGCAGCGGGGAGCGCGGCGACAGAAAUGCGUCCCGGCCCACGCCGCCACCUCGGGGCUGUGUCAGCUCCGCCCGGGAGCAGGUGACGGCCCAGCCACCGGGUCGCAGCGCGGUCGCGCGGGUGGAGCCGGCUUCACCGGACGCGGGUUUUCUCCGAGAGAGAGCUACAUCCUGCCUCCCAGUGCCAGCCGGGGUGGCCCCUGUCCAACCGCGUGCUGCCCGCGUCCUCCCGGGACGGCUGCAGGCCGGCCCCCGGCGCUCCGAGUUUCAGAUCAGCCACGGCGGCCGGCAGCAUCAACCCCAUUUUCCAGAGGGGAAAACAGAGGCGAGGCGAGGAGAGACCACACCGUGUGAAAGAGCACGCUGAAGAGGCAGACGCACAGGGGUGGCACAGGGAGGACUGGAGGACUGGGCCCACACCCCACCGGGAGCCUUCCGGAGAGCGCGGCCCCCGGACAGCCCCAUCUCGGACUUCUGGACUCCAGAGCUGAGGGACAGUCGCUCUCUGCCGUCCUGAGCCCCCCCAGCGUGUGGCCCCGAGUUCCAGCAGCCCCCGCGUGCGAGCAUUACUGAAUUUAAACAAAGAAAUGGAGAAAGACGUCCCCAAAGUGAUCCCCUGGGGGGGAAGAGUGGUGAGGGUCAUCCUGCCGGGGCCACUCCGCGGUGGAAUGGGG